GACGAACGCUGGCGGCGUGCUUAACACAUGCAAGUCGAACGGAAAGGCCCUGCUUUUGUGGGGUGCUCGAGUGGCGAACGGGUGAGUAACACGUGAGUAACCUGCCCUUGACUUUGGGAUAACUUCAGGAAACUGGGGCUAAUACCGGAUAGGAGCUCCUGCUGCAUGGUGGGGGUUGGAAAGUUUUGGCGGUUGGGGAUGGACUCGCGGCUUAUCAGCUUGUUGGUGGGGUAGUGGCUUACCAAGGCUUUGACGGGUAGCCGGCCUGAGAGGGUGACCGGCCCCAUUGGGACUGAGAUACGGCCCAGACUCCUACGGGAGGCAGCAGUGGGGAAUAUUGCACAAUGGGCGGAGGCCUGAUGCAGCAACGCCGCGUGCGGGAUGACGGCCUUCGGGUUGUAAACCGCUUUCGCCUGUGACGAAGCGUGAGUGACGGUAAUGGGUAAAGAAGCACCGGCUAACUACGU
rnacentral:rRNA from 1 species